GAUGAACGCUAGCUACAGGCUUAACACAUGCAAGUCGAGGGGAAACGACAUCGAAAGCUUGCUUUGAUGGGCGUCGACCGGCGCACGGGUGAGUAACGCGUAUCCAACCUGCCCACCACUUGGGGAUAACCUUGCGAAGGUAAGACUAAUACCCAAUGACGUCUCUAGAAGACAUCUGAAAGAGAUUAAAGAUUUAUCGGUGAUGGAUGGGGAUGCGUCUGAUUAGCUUGUUGGCGGGGUAACGGCCCACCAAGGCGACGAUCAGUAGGGGUUCUGAGAGGAAGGUCCCCCACAUUGGAACUGAGACACGGUCCAAACUCCUACGGGAGGCAGCAGUGAGGAAUAUUGGUCAAUGGGCGAGAGCCUGAACCAGCCAAGUAGCGUGCAGGAUGACGGCCCUAUGGGUUGUAAACUGCUUUUAUAAGGGAAUAAAGUGAGUCUCGUGAGACUUUUUGCAUGUACCUUAUGAAUAAGGACCGGCUAAUUCCGUGCCAGCCGCCGCAGUAA
rnacentral:rRNA from 1 species